ensembl:lncRNA
CAAGUGUUUUAGUGUUUGGUGCAUGCUUCAAAAACCCAUUAGCAGAAACGCUAUCUAUACUUUUACACAGUAGAAUAUCAGUGCAUUAGUCUCAGAGCAGUUGUAGAGGACAGUACUUAAUAUUGAAUUUUUUGUGCCCUUAAACUUGAAUUAAUGAUGAUAACUGUUGUGGCUUUGCAUUUUACAGUACAACUCUGAAAAUACUGCACAAACACUUAAAUAUCCUUUCCUUGUGAUUGUAGCAUCUGUCUUGGCAAGUGGUGUGCAUUAUAGAUAUAUCAUAGCUGUAUUGAAAGUACAUGUUGCACAAAAAAAGAACUCAUUAAAAACAAAUAGUUUAUUAAUUAUAGAUGCAUGUUCUUUUUGAGAAUGGAAAUUGCUCUGGAAGCACCUUUCAAAGUAGUUCAAGCAACAAGCCCUCUUGUUUAUGCAUCCCAUCCAUAUUUUUGAAGGAAAAAAAUUCAAGACAGUAUAGGGGCUUUAGCUGUAAUAACAUUGUUAUAUAUUUAAUGCUUUCAAAUAACAAAGUGUUUCAAAUCCAGUUUUGGCAUGCUGCUUAAGGAGCUCUCCAUUCUCUGCCUAUAUAUAGCUUUGGCAUCAUAAAUUCACCACUGCAAGUUAGAAUAGCUUCUUCAAAGCAGUGUGUUUGUAUACAUAAGAAAAAGGUGGUGCAUGGAGAUCUGAGGAGACAUUCUGAAAACCGAGGUAAAGUUUUUUAACUACACAGAGUGGAGGUGGUGAUAAUUCAGAAAUAUGACUUGGGGGAUUUAUAAAGUACGUUUUCCAGGUAUAAGGUAACACUAAUAAACAAUGAUUAGCAGAAUGCUGAAGAUACUGAGUCCAUUCAAUCUGCAUGAGCAAUCCUUGGAAACCUAAGAAACGGGUAAAAUUAGGGCUGCUCUAAAAGUGCUCUAAAUGCCAGAUUUUCUCUUAGGUAAAUGGUCCACUCACAGUCAGGCAGACUAGAUAUUCAACAUUUGCUACUGCUUGCUCUGAUUAACUGUAAUCAUCCGACUCUUGAUUUAUGUUACUUUGAAUGUAGCUUCUUUUGUUGUCUCUUGAUGUCUCUUGGGCUCUCAGUUGCCACCUCUAGUGCUACCGUUCAAAUUCUUCUCUCAUGAUUUCCAGUGCAGCCUUUUCUGGUUUUAAAGCUUUUGCACUUUGAGUUCUCUGUGACGCAAGGUGCCCCUUCACUGUUCUCCCAGUGACCUGAAAGCUGUGUUACCAUCCAGAGGGGCCUUGGUGGGCUGGAGAGUUGGGCUAACAAGGACGUUACAAAACUCAAGUACAAGAGACAUCUGGACAUACUGGGAAGUGUUGAAUGCAGGACGCUCAGGGUGAUGAGGGGAUAGGAGCUCCUCUCCUAUGAGAAGAGGCUGAGAACUGAGGCUGUUUAGCCUGGAGGAGGCUCAGCAUUUGCUGUGAGCCUAACAGAGUACUGGCACAGAGGUCACCCUGAGAGAUUGUGGAGUUUCUUUCCUUAGAGAUCUUUGAAAGGUGCCUGGGCACAUGGCCCUGGGCAACCUGCUGGAUGUAGCCCUGGUUGAGCAGGGGUUGAGGAGGUUGGACCAGGUGGCCUCCAGAGAUCCCUUCCAACCUCAGACAUUCUGAGAUUCUGUGAGUCUCUUUUCCCAUUUGUGUUUCAGGUUGUGAUUUGAACUCUUCCAUUAUUCCCAUGGCAUCAGCUCUAUCUUCCUGAUAUGAUUGUAGGGAAAAAAAAUAAAAUAGGAUCUAAGUAACCAAUUGGGGGGGGGGGGGGGGAGGAGUCUAAGUAAGCUUUUUUUUUUUUUUAAUAUUUCAAGCUACAUUUCAUUUUUUUCUUAACUAAUGUAUGUGAGAAACUAUUUUGAUGCAUGAGGUCUGAUCCUAGGUUUCUAUGUGAACAGUGACCAACUUUUAUUGCAGAAUGAUGCAAACAUUUAUAAAACGGUCCUUUUGAUGGACAGUGGAAAGCACAGGCAGCCUCCUCUAAGCUGAACCAGAACUGAAACAAGACUGUUCAGCUUUUGGCUAUGGUGUUUUGCUGUCAUCUCUCUACUUUUCAUUUCUGUUCUCUUUGCUGUUCUCUCUUUCUUGAAGGCAAAGGUAUUUUACCAGAGCCAUCUGUAGUUAUAUGCUUGAUCACUGUGUGAUCAUACAGCCCAUAUUUCUGGGCAAAACACUGUGGUAGAUACUGCAAUUAAUUAGCCACUAGAGUGCUUUGUUACUUUGGCAGCUGGUGGGGUCAGUUAGUGAUGGCAUUGCUCUAGGCUGGGAGGGAAGUGAGCAAAGACGUUAUUCCAGUAAGUGCCUUGCCUCCUGUUUGUAGCUUGGCCUAUUGCAUCUUGCCAGACACACAGGCUCCUCCAAGUACUUUCACAAUCAUCUCUUGUCUCUUCAAUUACCACUUCCUCCUCCCCCUGCCUCUCUCUUCCGUUUGACCUUCUAGUAAUUCCUCUGGCGCUAGUUCAGAAUUGUGCAGUAGGCUAUACUACCCGGUCCAAUUAAAGAUGUAAGUAUGUGGCACAUGAGAAGUUACCUAACAAGCCUCUAAACUGCCCUUAAACGAGAGCCCGAUGUCUCAUUGAUCUUGCCUGACCCACUUUGAAUCCCAAAAUUUCAUAGGCUGCAGUUAACUGUCACAGCAAUUACAGGUUUUUGGAACUUCACUGUUGUUUUUUUGCUUUGUGCCGUCAGCCAGCAGUAGUAAGCUUGUAUGUCCAGAUUUAGAUAGGGGCUGGUUUCCUAGAUGCACACAUGGCACUUGGGUUUUAUUUUUAAUUCAUAGAGACCACUUAAUGUAAUGAUCAGCAAUCAAAGAAUAUGCAAUUAUCACUCUUGCAAACUUUCCUGUGCCUCAGUAAUUAAACCAACAAAUUAGUUAAAGGCUCCAAUGCGGAAGAAGAUUGGUAGACUGUGGUCAAGACACACAUUUACGGAUUUUCCCUUAAGCUGCUUUUCUUGAGGAAGCUUUGAUAAAGACCAUAUGAUAUCAAUUAUCAUUAACUCUGUGUGGUUUCUCUGCAUUUGGAGCUCUCAGACAUUAGUAGACAGGAGCCUUGUGUUAAGUCUUUAAUGUAUGGCUGGGUUUUUUUUUUGCUGCAUAGCCUAUUCUCAUUUUGAUUUGUCAGCUGACAUUUGAAAGAGAAGAUUUAAGACAAUUUACAUGCAGACUGUGGCCUAUUGUGCUGAGUGACACUUUCUCCUCUGAUGUGAUUUGACAGAGUGCUGUUAUAACAGCAGCAAACAAACAAACAAAAACCCCAACCCUAUUUUAAAUACCAGAUUUAAAAGCAAACAUUUUAACUGUAUCUCAUGCUCAGUUACUGCCCAAAAAACUGAAGGAUGUGUUAAGGUGUCCCUGUCUGAGCUUAACAACAAAGUCAGCAUGACUUAAUAAACAGGCUUAAAUCGUCUCUUCAGAGAACACACUCAUAUAAAGUCCCUUAACAUCAAAGUCUCUCGUCUUGCUCUGUUCUGCAUUCCGUCAGUGUGAGCCUUUCUUCACAGACAGCAGAGGGGAUUCAGCAAACAUGUAUAUGUGAUUCAUUCUUAAGAUCUUCAAAUAUGUGGAUGAGUCACUGAUAAGUACAUGUAAGCUGUGCUGUCCAGAUUUAAAGUGCAGCAACCAGCACUGGAAAUUACAGGAUGUAGUUAGGAACAGAUGAGAGAGCCUGAAAACUCUUAAAUUGAGGAAGUACAUAUGAAAAUCUGUAGCAGGCUAAGGAGUUCAUUUGACUGGAAAAAAAAUAGUCUACAUUAAUUCAUUUCACUGGGAUUUACAGACAAGUUGAGGCCCAAUUGUUCACAGCUCUUCUUUGCCACGUUUUCAGCUGGGGUUUCUCAACAGUUUGGGGGAAAAGAACCACCCAGUUCUGAAAUGUCUCUGUUCUGUAGCUUUUUGGAACUGGAUUGGCAAUACUAGCUUGUAUUUCAGCUGAGCUUUAUGCCCACGUCUGAUCCAGAGGCUGCGAGCUGGAUGGUCAGGGGACUGUACUACUGAUGUAGAUAACCAGGAGGCAAAAAAUGAUUGCCUAGCAAUUUUUCUCUUGACCUUCUUUCAUAGAAUCAUAGAAUGGCCUGGGUUGAAAAGGACCACAAAGGCAAUCUAGUUUCAACCCCCAUGCCAUGGGCAGGGUUGCCAACCACUAGACCAGGCUGCCCAGAGUCAGAACCCUUGGGUUGCUUAUUUACUUAAUAUUCAAGGCCAGCACCAUUUCAGGGAGAAGGAAGGGAAGAGUCUGAGCACACCACAUGCUCUCAGGCAAUGUUCUUCAACUUGAAGAGUGAAGCAGCUCACAGUGCUUUACACCCUUCUGGGUGGAGAAAUCAACUUUUGACACCAAAGAGAAACAUGGAGACUUCAAUUUGAGAGAAUUUGACCGACAGCUACCUGAGGUUAUAAUGCACUGCUACUUAUCCUUCUGACUUAGUGCAUCAUCUUGAGUCAGUCUUAUGUUACUGUGCCUCGUGUCAUGUUUUCCUUUUCUUUUACCUAAAGCCUUCUUGGUUUUUUUUUCAUAGCUACCAUAGUCAGUGUGAAACAGUACAGCUGGUGGUUUCAGGUGUCCUAACAUAACAUUUGUAGAUGUUUUGCAGCUACUAAAUGUGCAACAAACCAGCCUGUUCUGCACCAGAAUUCCUGCUUGAUCUAAGUACACAGCAGGGCUCCACCUGUAUAGCAGGCUUGGAGUUGACGGUGUGAUUUUACACACUGAUUCAUCACAGGUUAUUUAGCUGGUUUGUUAAUAUAGUCAUAGCGUAAUAGGAAAAUUAUCUCCUGUUCGAUCACCGUUAACAGCCUGUUCUUGUAUCUGUCCAUGAGCAAAUGUCUUCAGGGACAGCAGUGGAAAAUUUCCCAUUGCUAUCAAGAAAUGUUGGGUGGGUUCCAGUUUUUUUCUCAGAAGCUUUCGGAACUUUGGGUUUAUGUUACAAUGAGGAGUAAUCAACAGCUUUUUAAAAUCCCAUCACCCGUUGUCUAGGCAUCAUUUAAAAUAGCAAUGCUACUUAAUGCUUACUCUUUCAACAUUUUCAGUCCAUCUUUUCCCCAGUCACUUCUUUAUAAUUAUUCUCAGCAUCUUAAUGUUCACCUUGGGAAUUUUCAUUUUAACUUUAUGUGCCCAAUGUUCUUGCUUGGAUGAUAGAAUCAUAGAAUGUCUUGGUUUGGAAGUGACCCCAAGGAUCAUCAAGUUCCAACACCCUUACCCUGGUCAGGGAUUAGACAUGCUUACUCUGUACUUCUAAUUUCUGAGGCUUUCUCAACUAUAAGUAAGGAGAGCAAAGUCUUUUGCUGCCUGUUUUUCCAUAUCAGGUCUUACGCUACAUUAAAUAGAAAUGCAGAUCUUGUGAGAAUCCCUUAUUUCCUUUUCAAAAUUCAAAUUGUCGUAGUAUCCUCUUACCCUGAUGCAAGGUAAGCCUGUGACACGCAGUGUGAACGUCAUGGAUUACUCCUUGCAAUUCAUGGAUUACCUCCUUUAGCAAGCCCUCGUAUCACUGGACAAUGUACCCUAGCUUUUUGAUUUAAUUGUUGCUAAUUCCAAAGUUCUGACUUUUUACAUUAAAUUUUACAUUUUAGUAUUCACACGAGAUUUUCAUCCCACAGAGAGGGUGGAAUUCCAAAAUGAUGCUAACUCAAGAUGGGAUUAAGAUGAGUAUUGGAUCCCAGGAUGCCUUCACUGAGAGAAGGUCCUUUCACAGGAAGACUGAUAGGCUAUACUGCACUAGAAGAAACUGAGAGAAGUAGGGAGAAGGCAAAGAAACAUCUACCAGCCUCUUGAAAAGUGUUCCAUCAAACAAGAACUGAGGUAAGCAGCUCAGAAGAAAAUCCAGGCAGGAGAUAUGAAAACUUCCACUGGCAAUCUGAGAGCAAGACAGUUGGGAAUGCAUGCCUGUGUUUAACAGAGGCUUGCCCCUGGCUUAAACACAGUCCUUGCUUAACCAAAUCUAGCUAAGAAAAGCUUGCAGUGCUCAAGACGUGCAAUUUCUGAGCAUGGUUAGUGUUGUAGUGAGAGUGACCAAAGAGGCAGAUGUUUAAAUACAUCACAACAACAGAAAUGCUGUGCUGUCAUUGAGUAGUUUUUCUGUUGAAAAGGUUUUGAAUUUAUAGGAAUUAACUAUUUCCCAUCAAGACCAUUCAUGGAUUACCCCAGUCUUUCCAUUUUUGAUAGCAGACUAAGCUAUGAAAAAAGUUUUGCAUCAGUCUAUCUCUGUGACUGAGGCGGCAAUGUUUAGUCAGGUUAGGAAUUAAUUAUAUUUACUGGGGUACAUUUUGACCAUUGCUUAUAUUACUGCAUCUUAUCAAUAUCCCUCAGCAAAGCAGGCUGGAAUUGCACUCUGCUUACACUUUGUCUAGGCUUUUACCAUUUACACAUAUCUAUCCCUAGGCUCGAUAUUAUGCAUAGGUGGUAAGGCCUUCAAAGCAAGCCCAGUCUGCUCAGUUUAGGCAAUGAAGGUCAAAUAGGUUACAAAAAUGCAUAAUAAUCUCAUCGUCUCUGCUCCUUAAACUAGAACCCUUUGUGAUAUAGCCUUCAAUGUCCUUUGCUCAGUUUUCAGGUUUUUACCAAGCAACACUGAAAAGAAUAGGGGAGUAAGCUUUCACUGCCUUACUGUGUGACCGUGUGUUAGGACAGAGUCAUGACAAGCAAUCUGAUUGUAUUUCACUGCACGUAGAGCUCUACCCAACCUGCACUCUGGAAACCUAAAAACAAACAAACAAAAAUCCACCAACACCAGCCUUAAAUAAAGCUUUGUUUUUUUUUUUAAAGAAAUUAUAAGAAAAAUUACAGAGAGGGUUCAUUGCCUGAUAACGUGAUCAACAUCUGAAUAAGACCUAGGCAAAAAGUCUCCAGUAGAGGGAGUGACCAAAUUAAAAAUCUCAUCCAAACUACUCUGAAUUAUAUGUUGCUGGAAAGUGUUUUCAUUCCUCAGGUGUGAGCAGCCAGAGAAGCAGGGAACUAUCUUAACUAGCACUGUGUUUUAUGGAGCAUCAUAUGUGACUCUGACAGUUGCACGAGUCUGCAUGAGAGCCAAUGCAAUUUGAAUUUAAUAUAUAUAGAUUUGUUUAUAUAUACACGCAACUAUAUUUUAAAGUAUGUGAACAGAAUUAAGAAGAGCCUUGCUUUCUGCAUUUCCUGCACUGUGGCCGCAGUCACUCGUGUUUACUGUGCAUAAUGCAGCAUUCAGUAUGUCACAUACGCCCAUCCAUGGCAUUAAUUACCCUACUUUCCCAAUUAAAAGAAAUAAAAAAAAUGUUGUAUUUGACCCUCAAAGCCACAGCUGAGCUGAAAUUUAAAUAUAGAUCCUUCUAGCACUAGAAAAAUACCCUGAUUAAUCAAAAUUAUUAAAAAUGUAUUUAGCUUUUAGAUAACACCGCCAGGUAGCGCCUAAGCCACAGGUAAUUACAUCACUGAGGUACCUGCUUCUUUCCCUGGUCGUUUUUCUGAUCUGACCUUUUCACACUCUUUCCGUUGCAGUCUCCCAAGCAUACGUACAUAGAAAUGACUGGCCUCUCCAAAGGCAGCUCAGAGCCCUAACGAGGGUAGUGAUGAUACACUUUCUCAGUGUACUUUGAGACACGAAGGAAGGAAUGUGUAUUUUUGCAUUUAAAAUUUUAUUCUGUUUUGCUUUGUACGAAGUCUCUUUGCAUAUUGCAUGAGUACUUUCAACUGAGAUCUUUGGGUUGCAAUCCAUCAGAUAGCGGAGAUGCAGUUUCAGAAGCCUCUCCAUAGAGGCUCACUGAACAGCAGUUCAGAAGGUGCAGUAUCUAGCAUAUAUAAGUAUAUAUAAUGUAACUAAAGGAUAUGUAAGUUAUUGUAUAUAUUCUAUAUAAUAAUACAUAGAAUAUCCUAGUAUAAAAGUGACAUCUUUUCAAAUAUUUGAUUAGGAAAGCAGUGUCUGGGUACGUUGGGGAAAUGGUGCAUUUGAGAGAGGAAUAACGAGGGUGCGGGGAAGGAGAAAGACUCCUGUCCAUCAGAGAACUGACAGCACUUAGUUAAAAUAUAUUUUUGAUAGACAACAACUUCACCCCUUACCUUUGUGCUUUCCUGCAGCUUUUGAAUGUAGCUUUAUUUUUCCUUUUCGUACCCAAGUUGAACUAUGUGUAAAGUAGUAGUCCCAUUUCGGGUGAAUUUUUAAGUUCUAUAAACUUCGUAAUUGUAGCACACAAACACUUUUUCCCAAAGACAAACAAUGUAGUAUCCUCUAGGGAAAACAAGAGGUCUCCAAGUUUAGAAAACAGGCUGGAGUGAUCAUUAGUGAAGCACAAUUUCAUGGCAGGAAGUCGGCUUGGAUCCCGUCUAUGUAUCCCAGACAUUUUAUGGUCUGGAUACAGAAAGCUCAUAUGGUGAAUGUUGGGGUUUUUAACAGCCAUAUUUUGGGCCCAUAAAAUAACCAACUACAACAGUUAAUUUUCACCCACACACCCAAAUUGCUAGUUGGUAUCACAAUUUCAGUCCCCUGACACCCCUUACACAAACAUACACUAUCACCACCAAAAAAAGUAAAACCAGGAGUGUAGUCUUGAGGGAUUGCAAUGGGUGUUUAAAAAAAACAUGCACACACACACACACACCAUACACACAAAAACGAGCAGCAGAUGACUGAUUAUACCUUCCAGCAAGUCACAGGAGGAAACAGUUUACAGAAUGCGUUGCCUCACAGCUCUGCCAUCUCUCCAUCACCUCCCUGUCCUUUUCCUUUCUUUUCUGGUCUGAUCUCUGUUGUCCUCCUUUCAUAAGCUGUUGUAGCCCAGAGCAGAAUCAGCAGCUUCCAAGAGUAUCAGCAACUUUAAAAUUUCCUUUAACUCUUUCCAAAAUGGAUCCAUGUGUUUAAGCAGGAAAUGCAACAAAUAGGUUACUACUGUGUUGUUUUGUGUUGUGAGAAAAUGUGAGCAGGCAGCUGGGUUAUCAUCUCCUCAUCCUAACAAGCUCUACUUAAAAUAUGCCUCAGACAAAAGAGAAAUGGUGAUUCUCUAGUUUAUCAGAAAGUGAACAGCACGAGCAAUCAAAGUUAUGAAACACACUGCAAGCUUGCUGGCCUCUCAGUUCAGUAGGAAUGAAAAGGGGAUGAACACUUUAAGAUAGAGAUUUAUGAUUUCGAAAAGCUCGUUUAGUGUAAGUUUAUUAUCAACAGAGAUGUCAGUUACUGUAUAAAUACCUAUCUUGAACUAGGCCCCUCUCGUUAGGAAGAUGUGAGUGAUGCGUGGAGAAUGUCAUCUCAUCAGGGAGAGAGGUAUUGUUUGAUUAAUUGCAUCUGGCUACUCAAUAACUUAAACUGGGUUCAAAUUAAAAUGGAGUGAUUUUUGAGUGCACAUCUAGGCAGCUUUUAUAAGAUGUAUGAAACGUUGAGCUAAGAAUAGAGAGUGAGGAUACUGGCUCUGCAGGUUCUAAAACAGGGAAUGUGUGCAAUAGCCUUGAAGUGGGCAGGUUUAUAGACCAGUCCUGUAUUUGCAGAGUGAGUUAUGUAGAUUUAAGAGGCCCUUUCUGUUACAUUUUCUUAGGUCUUGAACACUUCAUAUGGGAAAAUCAUAUCAAGCGUAGAAACAGUUCAAAGAAUUCUAGGGCAGUGGAAAUCUAGAUGUAAAACACUGAUUUUAAAAUGACCAAGACACUCCAGCCAUGCAUGUCACCUUCCUGUCUGCCUCAUUGAAUUAAUCUCGACUGAACAAGCUACAUGGGCUGUAUGUAACACACUGCAUCUCCUUUUACUAUAUUUAGACUGGUCAUCUUCUUCCACUCAGCUAAGCCAGAGGGGAGCUCAGCACGCAUCUUGUAAACACAGUGCCUUAACUGUCUACAUGGGAGAGGUGGUGUUUUUCCUUAAGCUGCUUCCCAGAUAGUUCCUUAAAUUGCUUUCAUAGCGUUGUUUUGUAUUUUCUGAGCAAAAGGAAGACUGCUUCCUGAAGGCUUCCCUUGGCAGAGAAACUGUGAGUGAUGCAGUGCUCCUCUUUAUCUCUCCCUGCUGGAAGAUAUUUCCUCCUGUUGAAGGUCUCGAAUCAUGUUUCCAUGGUGGGACUUGCCUGUGCCACACACUUCAGCACUCAGAGCUCAAUGUGCCUUGCAAGGCUGGCUCAGCAGAUGACUUUCAGUGGUACUAUUUUAAAAGCAAUUAGUAGGGUUGUGCAGUUCACAGUAAUUCCGACGAAGUCUCAUGUGACAUCUCAAUGAUAAAAUGUGCAUUUUCCAAGCCACAGCAUUUUUCAGGUAGUUUUGGCUUCAAGAGAAUAAUAAGAGAACAGUUGUGUUCAAGAAAUGUUUAGGUGCUGUAUCAGGGUACAUGGUUUAGUGGGAAAUACUGGUGAUACGUGGAUGGUUGGACUGGAUGAUCUUAGAGGUCUUUUCCAACCUUGGUGAUGCUGUGAUUCUAUGAUAAUGGACAACCUGAGUUCAGACAGAACACGAUGUAGCAUAUCCAGAUCUCGAAACGUGAUGUGUGGUACAAUGAAUGUUUCUACAGAUGCACGGAAAAUCAAGAUGUAAAUCCACUAUUCUAGCAUGUUCAGGAGAGUAGGGAAAAAUAGCUUUACACCCCACCCAUCAAGAUAUACGGGACAAAAUUAUUAUGUAAAAUGUGAUAACCUACAGUCUUACAUAUAUUCCCUUUAGGCCUGAGAUCCAAGUCUAAGGAACAGAAAAGCUGAAAUGUUGUCUAACCUAGAGCUCUUUUUUGUAAUGUGAUAUAUAAUAGCAGGUUUCAACUUUAAAUACGUAACAAUAGCAACAACACUGCUGAACUAGCUGUUUACACCAUUGUGGAAAACAGAAAACUUCUGCCAUUUAUCACUCAGCUUGAACUAAUAAUUUUACAUUUCAGAGUCUUGGUUUGGGGCGAGAUUUUUCUGGCUUUAAUUUUCAAAGACUUCAUUUUAUUUCUGAGCACAGUGAUGCAAAAUGAGCCACACAGAAGUUAGCCAAUAUAUCACCACUAAAACUGUUUUCUAGAUAGCUCAUUUUCAUUUUCUGUUAAUCAAAUUACAGUGCUUAGUCUUAUUGUGUGGAUUGCAUGAUUGCAAGAGAAUUUAAAAGCAAACUUCAAUACUUGGAAAAUUCAUGGAAAUCCAAUGACAAACUUUCUGAGCUAAGCUCAGCAAGAGAAUGUUGAACGUGGGAGAGUGCAAUUUAACGUGGCACAGCUGGCAGCCUUAGUUUCAUGAUUCAUUUAAUAAUUACCACAGAGAAUUGAAAGUUUUAAUCUGCCUAUAAAGGGCACUUUCCCUUUUGAGGCAGAAUCAGUUAAUGCAACAAAGAGAGAUCUCAACAACAGUAGAGAACCUCAGAAAUUCUGGCUGAGGUCAGUGAGUACUACUGCCAUGCAGAAGGAAAAGCUUUGGAGUUGUGUUGCAUUCAGACUGAGAAUUCCUGCAAGCCUUGCAAGUUGCUAAUGGUUGCUAGUAGUUAGAAUCAUAGAAAGCUGGAGUUGGAAUAAUUUUUUAAAAAUUAUUCCUCCAGUGCAUCUUUGUUCUAAAUAUGGAGCAUUAAUCUAAACUUCAAGGGUGGUAAUCUGCCAUGAACUCUCUUCAAGUUGUCUUACAUGCUGGAGUAGUCUCAGCUAACGAAAGCAGUAUGCAUGCUUGCAUCAGCCUAACUGAAAAUAAUUUAGGUUCAAUGUCCAGCUGCUGCUUCUGUUUUGGUGUCUACAAAAUGGUAUUUACAAAUGGUUACUUGCAAAUUCAAAGUACUCUGCGGACAAUCCUGUGGACUACCUUGCUUACCAGUUCCAAAAUUUCCCUUAAUACUGUGCAAAAAAAUGGUAUUUGGAUUGAAACAAAUCAUUCAACCUUGCAGUGGUUUUAAAGUGUAAUCCUGUGUGUAAUCCAUGCAGUAAACUGAACGUAGCCUUAGAUUUUAGUUAGGUUUCUUUCUCUAGCAUCGGUGGUAUCAUAAUUAACACUCUGCUUAAGUAUCCAUUCCACCUGAUUGGAUUCAACUGGAGGAGUAAUUACAAUUAUUUUAAGCAACCAUGUUUUACCCCUUCAUAGACUGAGUUUGUAGGGUAAAAAGAAUAGUAAAUCCUGCUUCAAAAUUAAGCAUUCCAAGUUUGCUAUUGUUUGUCCCAGAGCUCCUUACACAAGUUUUUCUGCCAAAAUGAGAGCAAUCUGUUCUUUAAAAAAAUAGAAGAUUAAACUUCUUGGAGAAUACAUAAAAUAGAUUCACUCUGAUCAGAGUGAGCCUUUGCAGCUGUUUUAAUCCCUGAACUGCAAGAACCCUAGUAGCGUGCUGCACUUGAGGAAUGUGUUUCUAAACCCACUGACACCAAAUGCAGAGCGAGUCCACAGUGAGUCCUGCUUUGGACCUGGCAUGGGGACUUACUGCAAACAUGGAAGACAUGUGCUGUUCCAAAACAGUGUGAAGCUUUCUUGGUGGGAAACAGCAAGCAGCUUGUUUGCAACUUUUAGGUCAGGAGACUGGUGAGCUGUGGAGUGCCAAUAGAUGGGAGGGCAGCCCAGGGAAAGGCUUCUGCUAAAAUUGCUGGUUGUGCUUUAUUGAGGCCUUCAGCUCUGGGGACAGUCACAAACAGAGACUUAAAAGGAUGAUUUGAGGCCCUGACUCGGUAUGGCUGUUCCUGUAUUAUGUUUGGUGUGACAUGUAGCAGGUGUGAAUUUCCUGAGCUUCCUAAACCCUGUUCUGUAGAAGUUCGGCUGGCUGGGGAGAAACAACCAACCUAAGUAGAGCCCACUCACUCAGUGAUACUAUUUCUCUGUAGUACUUUAGAAACCCAUGUACAGAUAGUGCCAAAACUGAGGGGCGCAUUUUAGGUACUGGUGUGCGGAACCCCAUUUUUAUUAAUAUUAAAUGGAAAAGUUGUGACUCAGUGGGUUGAAUCAGGCAGCAACUUUUCCCUUGCUGCAGGUGAAUGACUAUAUCUGUCUCUCUUACCCUUUGGUUCCCAGUAAGUACCACAAGGAGCAUUUGGCUCCUUUUUGAGUGUAAAGCUCAAUCUAACAAAGUUUUAACAAAUAAUUUAUAAGGAGAAAUGCUGGAUCAUUCGAGCUUUUCUCCUCCCCUCUUCCUCACCCCUUUUCCCCUACUGCUCCUUCCUGCACAUCUCUGCACGUCUCCCAUGAAAACCAACCUGUUUUCUUUUGCUGGACAAUGGUUUGACCAGACAGGUUCCCUGUGUAGACAGUGCGCUGUGAAACUUCUUGUGGAGGCCUUUCCAUGGAGCUGGGAAUGGGACGAUGCUUCGGCAGUUUUGCUGACAAAUGCCUCAUAGCAAGUUAAGCACCGUGACCUGGGGGACUCACUAGCACGGGGUGCCUGCUGGUGGUUCCCUAGAUCCCUUGUGUGCAAGGGAAGGUCUGCAGAGCAGUGGGAAACAUUUUUUGAACUUUUCCCAGUAUGUAGGCUGUACCAGAUCAGAACCUUGAGAAUGAAAAACACUGAAGGGAAAAAAACGCUCCCUUUUUAUAGUCUACUGUCUCGUUGAAAGUGAUUUAUGAAAUGAAGCUUCCUGCCCACCCAGUGCACAGAACAAAUACAGACAGUGCUUUGAAAUAACUACAGUACUAUGCUAUUUUCAGUAAUAUUUAGCUCAGACUUAGCCAAGAAAGCCCACUAAGCAUAGCAGACAGACAUAAAAAGAAACUCUCUUUUUUGCAUUUUUGUGUGUGCAUGCAUCUAUUUUAAGUUUCACCAGUUGCAUAGCUGACUAUCAAUGUUGCAAAGUCCCAACUUGGGAAAAUGCUUUAAACCCACUUGUCAUUCAAGUAACAGCACUUGAGCACGCACCUAACUUUAAGUGCCUUAAUAAAUUUAAGCAUGUGCUUAAGUCGGAAUACUCUUAUCUCUCACAUUGACUUCAUUCGCUUCAAGCAGUGGAUAAUCUUGUGGUCCAGCCACUCUCAUGAUUUGAUUGUGUUUUGUGUGUGUGUAUUUAGGAAGUGCUUGUACCCUCUCAGUGACUAUGAGUUUUUAUACUGUCACAAAAUUACUACCCGUCUGCUGGCAUCAGGUCUACACUCAAGGAGGAAGCUCUAGCUGACGCUGUCUUGGCUCACAUCUGCUGCAUUUUCUUUACACUCAUUUCUUCCCUGUCUGCAAAUUGUGAGGUGUUACUUGUUUUCACACUUACAUUUAGGAAAAAAGAAGAUAAAAACAAGCCAACAAGGUAACUUAGAAGGUCUUUCAGGUAAAUUUAUCUUGCCUUUAGCAGUGGCUGUCCAGAGAAGAAUGGAAAAAUCAGAUUGAGCGCACAGUAUUACAUCUCCAAAAUAAUCUCCUCUUUUCCCUAGUGAUUUGAAGGUUGAAGGACUUCUUAAGCCAUCACUGUUAUUUUUGCACUGGAUAGCUUUUAUUUGAAAUCGUCUAACGCUGUCUGAGGCUGGAUGUCUGGAUCCUCAGCGUGUAACUCGGUGUUUCUCAUAACUCUGGGAAAGUAGGGAUUCUGCCACUUGGGUUUUUACUCUGAGAUUUGUUGGAUAUGUUUGUUUUUCAGUUUCAAACUUCUCCAUCAUUAUAGUAUGAGGAUACUAUACACAUGAACCCAUGAAAUACCCACUGAGCUCAUCAGCUUACAUCAAAGCUUCCUUCCCCAUACUUCACUCCAUUUUCUAACUUUUCUGGUUCAAGCUGUCUUUGUUACUCUGACCAAGCAUGGGGAUCUAUCUCACUGAUGAAAGAGACAUCAGUGGUGCUAGUCUAUCUAGAAAUCUCAUAUUGAAAACACAGCAAGAAAGGUUUCUCUUCUUGGUGUUCCCACACUGUUAACACGUGGUUUUCUUAUUGUGGUUUACUUUAUAGAUCCAAACCAUGUGCUGUAUUAGGAAAUGCUAUGGAAGGUCCAUUUCUCAUGAUAGUUUAUCAGAUGAAGUGCUUUAGAACAUACAUAAAAAAUACAUCAAACAAAGUCAGUAUUUUAUUUCACUAUCUCAUUUUAAGAGAAUGGCAGGAAAAUGCCACUAAUGGUAGGACUUAGACCUCAUGUCUGUGCUGUCAUGUAUGCAGAUAUACUCCUCUACCCAAGUAGAUUUCCAGAAGAACAUUAUGAAAGGACCUUUCACAAUGAGAAAUAACAUGCCUUUUUUGUUUAAUGAUAUAUUAAUCAGUUGCAUGAUAAACAGAUUAAAAAAAUGCUGAGACUCCACUAGAUAUGGAAAUAUAGUAGUUGUAUUUGAUUUAUAUCCUACCCAUAACAGUACAUAUCACUGUUUACUCUUUUAUCAUGAACUAAGGUAAUAUAUGUUUAAUUAAAAACCUAUUUGGGAUGUUUGUGUCUUACAUUCCUAAAGCCUGAAAUGGAUUGUCUUUUACCACCCUUACGAAACAGGAUAAAAAUUUGAAAAGCACUAGCUGUGUGCUCUACAGAACAUCCCAGGUUAAAAAGGGAUAUUUGGUUUUCAGCCCAGGAAUUAAUAAAAAUAGAUCCUUAUCAAAGACUAAGAUACUUGUUUGCAGACUUUCUGAUACAGCAUUACUCAGUCAGGCACACUUCUCCUUUUAUAAUAGCUGUUUUUCUUUCUUCUAAUUCAGGAAAGACUUCGAUCCAGCACUUUCUGUCAUGCAUUAGCAACUCUGAAAACAUGUUUACUUAAGUACAAAACCACAUUAGCUCAGCAUUACUGUACGCCUCAGACACACAUAAAUUACAAUAUAUUGUGGGGUAGGAACUUUGAUCAAGAAAAGCCCACACUGAAUUAACUUGGAGGUGGGGAGGAGGGUUGGAGCAUUAUAUGUUCCUUGUCCCUUUUUUUCCUCUUCCCUAUGAUUCUCACUGCCAGUCAGUCUUUCAGAUUGCUCACUGUUUCUGCACUGCAGACUACAAGAAAUAAAGCAGUAGCGAUAGCAGUCCUUGUCCUAGUCCUAGGUCCUAACCUUCACUAACAUCCAUUUCCAUACACAGAAUCUCAGCUGACACUCGGUAAGUUCUCCCUCAUGCUCCCCAGCAUUCUGCCUCUCACCCUGGGGUUCUGGAACAGAAAAUCAGCUAAUUCAGAGCCAUAACAACGAUUAUAGGUAGUGUAGCUGCCAUUAAUUAUUCUUAUUUACCUGAACCAAGUAGCAGAUAAGAUAAAGGACUUAAAUGGUGCUUUAUGUUUAAGUGUCAUGACAAUUUAUGGCUGUCAUAUUGUUAUGCACAUGUUAGGAACAAGCAAAAGGAAGUAGGGAAUGUAAGAAGGACAUCUGUAUCAUGUAAAAUCCAACACAAAAGUAAGCUACUCUUAUUUGUUUAGGAAUUUUAUCUAGUUUAUCUUUUCUCAGAUCAGAAAGACAACCAUCAACCAAUGUAAGAUCACUGUAAGGGUCACAGCCCAAGGAACAACGUGGCCACAAUAACUCUCAUUUUUGAGAAAGAAUUCAAGGUAGUACUGCUCUUGGAUUUCCACGUGGUCGUACAGGCACCUAUCUCUAAGUCCAUUAAUGUAUUUGAAAUUAAUUGUCAGUACAGUGCUACAGCUCUUGUAAAGUACAAUUAGAUUUCUGUGGUUUAAUUGAUAUCUACCGCAGGUAUCUGGAAACAUCAGUUUAUGCACUAACAGUUCACUAUGCAGAUGAUCUGUUCAGCUCCAGUGACAAGAAUUUGUUGGGGGCAUUUGCAGGCUCCCAUUACAAAAGACAGGUCUCCAAGAUCUAAAAUGACACACUCCUAGCAAGUCAUCACAAAUACAGCAGUGUUCCCCAAUUGGAACUCAGAUAUCAUAAUCAUUUAUCAUGCAUAAACUUCCUACAAGGAGUUUCUCAAAAUUUUUCAAACUUGCCCAGGUCCCUCUGGAUGGCAACCCUUAUUUCUGUUCUAUGAACUGCACCACUCAGCUUAGCAAACUUGCUGAGAGUGUUCUUAAUCCUACUGUCUAGGUUGUUGAUAAAGAUGUUGAAAAGCACCGGUCCCAGGACAGACCCCUGGGGGACACCACUCAUCACCUGAAGCCAUUGACCCCAACCCUCUGGCUGACGCUGUACAACCAAUUCCUUAUCCACUGAAUAGUCCAGCCUUCAAGUCCAUAUCUCCCCAAUUUAGGGAUAAGGAUGGUGUGUGGGAUCGUAUCAAAUACUUUGCUGAAUUCCAGUUAGAUGAUACCAGUUUCUCCUCUUUCUUCUACUGAUGCCAACACUCCAUCGUAGAGGGCCACCAGAUCGGUCAGGUGUGAUCUGCCCAUGACAAGACCAUGUUCUUUGUCACAGAUCACCUUGCCUCACAUGUGUCUUAAGAUAGCUUCCAGGAGGUUCUAUUCCACCAUCUUAUUUUUCCCAUCCCUCACCAAAUGCAGUUCCAUCUGUGCCUUAUCUUUCCUGAUCCCAUCUCUUCAUGUCUAGAUGGAAUCCUGUAUUCUUUCCAGGCCACUCAUUCCUGAUUCCAUUAACUGUGAAUUUCCUUCUUAUUUCUCAUUUUGACCAGCAGGUCCUCACUCAAUCUUGCUGGUUUCCUCCCUCCUCUUCUUGAUUUCUUAUGCUGAGGGACAGAGAGCUCUUAUGUUGUCAGAAAGGUGUCCUUAUAGAGCUGCCAGCUCUGCUCUGCUCCACUGUCUCCGAGGACAGCUUCCCAGGGGAUCUCAUCCAGUAAUUCCUUAAACAGCUGGAAUAUCACUCUUCUGAAGUGCGGAGUCCUGUCUCUGUUCUUUGCCAUGCCCAUAUUCCUUGAGAUCACAAACAUAAUCAGAGCACUAUCACUACAGCUCACAGUACCUCUUAAUAUAUUUAAUGAUCUCCUUUGUAUGGUGAGUGUCUGGUCAGGUAAUGCUUCUCCUCUGGUUGGUUUGUCUGAUAGCUAGGCCAGGAAACUUCUCCGAAUGCACUCCAGGAGUUUGAAUUCCUCCAUCAAAAUGAAAGCCUGUGGACACAGUGCUUCUUGUAGCUGUAGCAAGAAGGUCUUCCAGUAGGCUCCAGGUAAGACAGUGCAGACAGAACUUUGCUUUGACCUGACUAGGUAUGGAAGUAAGUUGGUUCAAGAGCACUGCAUGGCCAUUUUUCUCAUUAAAGAUGAAGAAACCUUUAGGAAUUCCCUUUGAGACUGUUGCAUGUGGUCUCCGUUCGCUCAUCCGGUGUUCGUCCUCUGUCCACAUGUAGGGCUUACUGCUGGGCGAAACCGACCCUUUACCAGGUCGGGGCCAGAUGCUCACGCAGACCCCAGGAGUAAGUGAGGCAAAUGGCGUUAAUUGCUAUAGGCUACGUGUUUAAAUACAAGUGUUUCCUCCAAUCACGAAGCUACACUUGGCACACACAGGUGGCAUAACACACAGGUGGCAUAGGGAACCUGCACACGUCACACCUCGUUUCCCUCGCUACGCAUACAACAUCUCCCCCUCCCUAUGCCGAUAGCUCCCGUCACAUCGCGUUCGGAACCUACAACUGCUCCCUAAUUCUAUGAUAUUUUAUGUGUUCAUCCAUAAACUGAUUCAUUGUUCUCGAUAGACAAUCCUGAAAGCACUUGAUUAUACAUGGAAUGAUAGCUAAUAGACAGGCUAUGACAAGCAAGGCAAACAGUAGCGUCUUAACACCUUUCGCGAGCCACCUUCCUAGAUCACCAAACGUGCGCGUAAACCAGUCCCUUAUGGGAUCAUCUUCCACCCGUAUCUUCUCUGUAUGUUCCUUCAUGGCUUGGAGCGCCUUGUGAAUGGACUCACUGUGAUCGCUGAGAUUGAAGCAACACAUCCCUUCCACGUCUUGACACCUGUGUCCCUGCGCCAGGAGUAAGAAAUCGAUGGCUGCUCAAUUCUGCAACACUGCGUGCCGGAUGCUGCUCGUAUCCUCCAGCAUCGCAUUCAAUAUUAAUGAUGUUAAAUUUGCUUGCUUAACCGACCAACAUGCCAAUCGUUCGAUCUCCUUUAAGGCCUGUGCUGCGGCUAUACCAGGAGCAAAGAAAGAAGCAAAUAUCCGGGCUGUCACACUCCAUAGCUGUAGCUCAUCACCGCAGCCAGGCGAGAGACGACUCAGCGAGCGCCUGCUACGGCAGUGACCCGUAAUGUUCGGCCCAUAUGUUAUCCAGGUGGUAAAGUUAGGAGAGAGCAUAGUCAAUUGUCCUAGAUAACAGGGCCCUCCCAAGGCAUUACGCGGGAUGCCUUGCCAAGCCCUGUCCCCACAAAUCAAGAAAAUACCUGGGGGGAGUGCCUUAGCAGUCCCAUUGUUCCACAACACCUCUGGCUGUUUCCCGAAGGUAAACCCAUAUGCAUAAUAAUUCCAUUCCGUCGUGCAAUUACCACCGCAACCUGUUGUGUUGCUGGAACAUUUUGUCCCGUUGCUGUACCCCGCUGACCAUUUUCCCCUUUUUGAACCACACCAAUUAGAAAGGUCCCCUCUAUAGUAACGAGUCUCGUUACUGGUGAAUCCACAAUAUCUACAACUUAUUGAAAAACUCUCUACAUUUAUUGGACUUACCAUCGUCCAUGAUUGGUUGACAUAGGGUCUUAUAAGAAGGUCAUCACUUUUCCAUUUUGCUAUGAAGUCACGCAAUUCUGCUUCUGCCCCACCAGUCCCAUUAAAAUUCCCAUCAAAAUUGUGACAGACUCUACUGCGAUUGUUCUCUUUAUAGCACACCGAACCAAAGGUAACACACGUACGUGUUGUUCCGUUCUUGAUCAUCUGGGACCCUAAAAUAUCCAAUUCUUGGGGGUCCCAAGGGAGGGUUGUAUUUAGAGCCUGUAUCAAGCAUGCUGUUUGGCUGGCUAAAUCGGCGUCGUUAUCGCAAGCAGUAACAUUAGUGACGUAUCCCUUGAAGGUGUUCAGAGGAUACUGUGGAAUGCCUAUCUGUUGCAAGAAAUCCCGCCCCAGAAGAGUUCCGGGGACACGCGCCACCAAUGGUGUAAGCAACGCCGGUUUCUCUAAGGAGCCAUCCCUGUUAAUCACAACCGCUUGUACCUCAUUGGUAGACCGGCGUGAGGGGGUCGCCCCUCCAACCCCCAAAAUAGACUGCGAGGCCUCCGCGGGCCACGAGGAUGGCCAUUCUGUUUCCGCGACCACAGUAACGUCGGCGCCGGAAUCUAUGAGGGCAGUGACAAAGAUAGAUCGAGGGCCUUGAAAAUCCAGCGGGAGGUUGGUGCAAGAAAUAGUGGCUUUCACCAGAGGGCGCUCAUGGGUACUUAGAGACAGCGCCGCCAUGGGUAAACUUAGGUCAGGGGCCUGCAUAGGUCGAAAAAUGAAGUCACCGUGCUCGGACUGUCUCCCGUUGUUAUUUCCCUGGCGUGGAGGCCUACGGGCCCUGCAUUGUGGUGCUGUAUGACCCCUCCGCCCGCACUGCUGACAUGUUACGCUUCCACCCGCACCCAUUCUGCACUGGGCCCUAAUGUGGCCCGCCUGACCACAUUUAAAGCAAGGUCCUAACUGUCGGUCCGCACUAUGAUGGUCCGCCUCCCUACAGGCCAUCAUCACUCCUGCUACCGCCGCAGCUACCUCCCCUGCCACAGACGGACAGGCCUUUUGCUUAUCUAGGACCUACUUGAUGGCCUCACCAGGGGUUUGGAGCCUCCCCGGCGCCACUCGCAAAAUCCCCUGCACCCCUUCACUGGACUUCUGAUACAAGCAAUCCAGGAUGACGGGACCGUGAACUGCUCUGGGCAGAUCCGAGCCUUCCACUGCCUUAAUUAGUCUGUCUGCAAACUCCUGAAACGGCUCUGUGGGGCCUUGCGCGAUCUCUGUCCACGGAGUAGUGGGCUCAGCACUCCUUGCAAGCUUUCGGAACGCGUCUAUUGCAGCGUCCGUAGUCGCUAUCAACUAUCCUGGUCUAAGUUGACAAACUUGUGCUUGAGGGGUCAGCAGACCUGGUGCAUUGCCCGUUAAUCUCUGUAUAUCGGACCCAUAUAUGGGGUUUCUUUGAUCACCCUGCGCCGUAAUCAGCAUUUGUUUUAAUUUGGUAUGCCACUCCUCUCUCCAGAGCGUAUACUGCACUGGUUUCAACACCAUGCGCAUUAAAUUUUCAAUAUCAUAAGGCAGCAUUGGGCCCGAUGCUGUGAGGGCCUCAAGGGCAUUCAUCGUCAAUGGCGAUUUCAGCCCUUUCUUUUCUACUGCCUCAAUCAUCCUUGCUACCCCCUUUGGGUCCAACGGGACCCAGACUGGGCCUCCCUCCUCUGAGACAACAACUGGGAGUGUAUAAGUUGCCGCCAGGCCUUUCUGUGCCACUUCCUCUUUGAUCUGCCCCCAAUCAGUAAGCUUAAGUCUCCCCUCCUCCUUUCCUUUUGGGGAUGGUCCCGCCCCCUGCUCCGAUGUCGUUGCCAAGGAAGGAUAUAACGGCUGCUUAGGGUAGGGCGGGGGCGGCGACAGCGCAAUAGAAUUAGGAGGGGCCGUCGGCGUCGUUGCACCCCCCCCGAGCCUCUGCGACUCUUCUUUGUCCUUCUCGCAAUCUUCCUCUCUCUCCGUCGCCGUUUUUUUCGCUGUGGUCUGAGCGCCGGACCUGCAAAACUCCAAAGACCCGCUCCCCGAAGCUCCCUCCCCGCUCAUGACCGCGCCAAGUUUGUCCUCUUCCCUGGCCGCCUUAAGGGCUCCUAACAUCAGUCCCCACGUUUUAAGUUCCGUAGCCUUCUGACUGGCCAUGGCGCGCUGGCAUAGCGCCGAGGUGAGCAAGUCCCACCUACUCGAAUCCAAAAUGUGGCAGGGAGAGUCCAGCUCCCCCAGCUCAUUUAAUAGCGACAAAACUGUCGCGAUCUCCUUCCGGGAAGGAGUAGAUUUUCCACAGUAGUCCUUACAAAACUGCACAAGUACCUUAAUGACUUGGUCCAUUGUUACGCAUGCGACCUGCCGCCACCUCGCAGGCUCUUAACCGCAGUACGUCUUCCGUGCGCGACCUGCCGCCACCUCACAGGCUCUUCUCCGCGUCACGGGCACGCCGGGCAGCCACCCUCAGCAGACAGAUCACGUCGGGGUCACCACUUGUUGCAUGUGGUCUCCGUUCGCUCGUCCGGUGUUCGUCCUCUGUCCACGUGUAGGGCUUACUGCUGGGCAAAACCGACCCUUUACCAGGUCGGGGCCAGAUGCUCACGCAGACCCCAGGAGUAAGUGAGGCAAAUGGCGUUAAUUGCUAUAGGCUACGUGUUUAAAUACAAGUGUUUCCUCCAAUCACGAAGCUACACUUGGCACACACAGGUGGCAUAACACACAGGUGGCAUAGGGAACCUGCACGCGUCACACCUCGUUUCCCUCGCUACGCAUACAACAUGAGACAUGCAAAAAUGCUCUGCUCACAUCAGG